UGAAUACGAGAUGCUACGGCGUCGAAGCAGUCUAUGUCAUACUUCCAAGAAAAGCUUGCACUGUCAUAAACAAAUAAUGCCUGUACCAUAACCGACACAGGUGGGUAGGUAGAGUAUACUAAGGGGCGCGAGAUAACUCUCUCUAAGGAACUCGGCAAAAUGACUCCGUAACUUCGGGAGAAGGAGUGCCUUAUUUUAUAAGGUUGCAAUAACAAGAUCCAAGCAACUGUUUACCAAAAACACAGGUCUCCGCUAAGUCGUAAGACGAUGUAUGGGGGCUGACGCCUGCCCAGUGCCAGAAGGUUAAAGAAGUUGGUUAGCAUCCGCGAAGCUGAUAACUGAAGCCCUGGUGAACGGCGGCCGUAACCAUAACGGUCCUAAGGUAGCGAAAUUCCUUGUCGGGUAAGUUCCGACCCGCACGAAAGGCGUAAUGAUUUGGAUACUGUCUCAGAGAGGGGCUCGGUGAAAUAGACUUGUCUGUGAAGAUGCGGACUACCUGCACCAGGACAGAAAGACCCUAUGAAGCUUUACUGUAACUUGAAAUUGAAAUUGGACUUUACUUGCGCAGUAUAGGUGGGAGGCGUUGAGAAUAUUCUUGCGGGAAUGUUGGAGCCAUCAGUGAGAUACCACUCUUGUAAUGUUAGAUUUCUAACUUUGUAUCAUUAUCUGGUCAAAGGACAGUUUCAGGCGGGCAGUUUGACUGGGGCGGUCGCCUCCCAAACGGUAACGGAGGCGCACAAAGGUUUCCUCUGAACGGGUAGAAAUCGUAUCUAGAGUGUAAAGGCAUAAGGAAGCUUGACUGUGAGACCUACAAGUCGAGCAGGGACGAAAGUCGGUCUUAGUGAUCUGACGGUGCUGAGUGGAAAGGCCGUCACUCAACGGAUAAAAGUUACUCUAAGGAUAACAGGCUGAUCUCCCCCAAGAGUUCACAUCGACGGGGAGGUUUGGCACCUCGAUGUCGGCUCAUCGCAUCCUGGGGCGGUAGUACGUCCCAAGGGUUGGGCUGUUCGCCCAUGAAAGCGGUACGCGAGCUGGGUUCAGAACGUCGUGAGACAGUUCGGUCCAUAUCCGGUGUAGGCGUUAGAAUAUUGAGAGGAGCCUUCUUUAGUACGAGAGGACCGAGAAGGACAUACCUCUGGUGUACCAGUUAUCGUGCCAACGGUAAACGCUGGGUAGCUAUGUAUGGAGUGGAUAACCGCUGAAAGCAUCUAAGUGGGAAGCCCACCUCAAGAUAAGUAUUCCC
rnacentral:rRNA from 1 species